UUCAGCACUGACCACUUCUAAAAAGAAAAUAAAAGCUCAUUUCACUUUUUUGUAGAUUAUGAAUCUGUAUGAGGAGUUUGCAGAGCUGUCUGAGCAUGCAGUGACCACCCAUUCUUUCUCUCUGACUGUUCUCGACCCAAAGGAACUCUACACCAGAGGGGGAGGUUUGAAAUCCUGUUAGAUAAAAUCUCUAUUGCAGGAAAAAAGUUGCUUGCAAUCAAUGCAUCAAGGUUUCUCUACUGACAAACAACUAAUCAACCCAAAAUAAUUGUGUUUCUUGCAGAUGGCCCUUUGGGGUGUGACUGUUUCUAUCGAGGACAGUAUGUCAUCCACAAAACCCUUGAAGCACCCUUAAGUGUCACGACCUGCAGCAUGUAGCCAAGGUGAGUGGGAUUGUGUUUGGGGGCUGUAACUUUACUCAGACCCUCUACCCUGAAUAAUCUGUCUUUUUUUUACCCUCAGACCCAAGCAGAUGGCCAGAAAAAUAGAGCAAAACAGACAAACAUUUGAUGUGAGGACAAAAAGUGCAAAGCAUGCAGAGCACUUGCAUUUGACCUAUGACCUCACAACUCAAACAGAAAGCAAUAGCCGUCAGAUGUAUGAGGACUACGCCGGCUCAAACACUUGUCAGCUAGAGGAAGGUGGUCCUGAGUGAUGAUCUCUGGUCACACUUACUGCCUCUGCAACACUCCAGACAGCUUAAUCAGCAGAAUCUUGAAGGCAGGAAUUCAUCACUCAUUACUUUGCUGCCUAUCAGCAAUUAGCAGUGGGAGGUAGGUGAUCCUGCUUCUAGAGGCCAGGAUCAAUCCGUCCAUCUGUGCUCCACUACUAGGGGCAAGUGCAGCCUCACGUUCACUGCAUGAUGGAUGCAUGGAACGGUGCUGCGUUACUGGUAAUGUGGCCUGAUAAAUAUUGUGACUGGAAUAUUGUUUGUGAAUUUGCAGAAAACAUGAUUGAUUGAUUGUUUGAGUGGGAUUUCACUGGCUAGAUGUGAAUAUUUAUCACAUUUGUAGAGGAAUUUCAGUGCGAAAUCCUAUUUAGUAAUUUAAAUGAAUCAAAAUUGACAUUUAGAAUGUUAAAAAAAAAAAUUGCUAUUGUUUUGAACUUGAACCUGGAAAAAGCAGUUUCUUAAAAAGUAUUAAGCAUCACAACUGUUGAAAAUAUUGGAAAUAAUAAUAAUAAACAAAAGUUUCUUGAGCA
ensembl:lncRNA